rnacentral:rRNA from 1 species
GCUUGUCUCAAAGAUUAAGCCAUGCAUGUCUAAGUAUAAAUAAUUCUAUACUGUGAAACUGCGAAUGGCUCAUUAUAUCAGUUAUAGUUUAUUUGAUAGUCCCUUACUACUUGGAUAACCGUGGUAAUUCUAGAGCUAAUACAUGCUGGCGUGCCCGACUUUUGUGGAAGGGCGGUAUUUAUUAGAUAACAAGCCAAUAUUCCUCACGGUCUAUUGUGGUGACUCAUAAUAACUGAUCGAAUCGCAAGGCCCUUGGCCGCGAUAAGUCAUUCAAGUUUCUGCCCCAUCAGCUUUCGAUGGUAGUGUAUUGGACUACCAUGGCGUUCACGGGUAACGGAGAAUUAGGGUUCGAUUCCGGAGAGGGAGCCUGAGAAACGGCUACCACAUCUAAGGAAGGCAGCAGG